rfam:Crassostrea gigas strain 05x7-T-G4-1.051#20 contig8618, whole genome shotgun sequence.
CGCCAGAUAGUUCAGAUGGUAGAACACCUGACAAGAGAUUAAGGGGGGCCGGGUUUGAAUCCCGGUCUGGUCC